rnacentral:rRNA from 1 species
AGCGAACGCUGGCGGCAGGCUUAACACAUGCAAGUCGAGCGGGCGUAGCAAUACGUCAGCGGCAGACGGGUGAGUACCGCGUGGGAACGUACCUUUUGGUUCGGAACAACACAGGGAAACUUGUCCUAAUACCGGAUAAGCCCUUACGGGGAAAGAUUUAUCGCCGAAAGAUCGGCCCGCGUCUGAUUAGCUAGUUGGUGAGGGAACGGCGCACCAAGGCGACGAUCAGUAGCUGUUCUGAGAGGAUGAUCAGACACAUUGGGACUGAGACACCGUACAAAAUCCUACGGGAGGCAGCAGUGGGGAAUAGUGGACCAUGGGGGCAACGCUGAUCCAGUCAUGCCGGGUGAGUGAUGAAGGCCCGAGGGUUGUAAAGCGCUUUUGUGCGGGAAGAUAAUGACGGUACCGAAAGAAUAAGCCACGGCUAACUUCGUG